rnacentral:rRNA from 1 species
AGUGAACGCUGGCGGUAGGCCUAACACAUGCAAGUCGAACGGCAGCACAGUAAGAGCUUGCUCUUACGGGUGGCGAGUGGCGGACGGGUGAGGAAUACAUCGGAAUCUACUUUUUCGUGGGGGAGAACGUAGGGAAACAUACGCUAAUACCGCAUACGACCUACGGGUGAAAGCAGGGGAUCUUCGGAUCUUGCGCGAUUGAAUGAGCCGAUGUCGGAUUAGCUAGUUGGCGGGGUAAAGGCCCACCAAGGCGACGAUCCGUAGCUGGUCUGAGAGGAUGAUCAGCCACACUGGAACUGAGACACGGUCCAGACUCCUACGGGAGGCAGCAGUGGGGAAUAUUGGACAAUGGGCGCAAGCCUGAUCCAGCCAUACCGCGUGGGUGAAGAAGGCCUUCGGGUUGUAAAGCCCUUUUGUUGGGAAAGAAAAGCAGCAGGUUAAUACCCCGCUGUUCUGACGGUACCCAAAGAAUAAGCACCGGCUAACUUCGUG